rnacentral:sRNA from 1 species
AUCCGGAAUCCUGUCCGAGAUUGCAGGUGGUUUUCCCUUAAUCACUUGGCCUGCAUGAGACGGGUAAGACCCGAAUUGCAUGAAGUUCGCUUCUUGGAACUCGGUUCGAGCCUUGGAUGCCUUGUGCCUCUUCAGCCUUGAUUGGCGCGGAGCGCGAGGGGACAGGAUCCUCAAGCGUCGCUUGGGAUCUCUUUUGAU